AGCAGCCGCGGUAAUUCCAGCUCCAAUAGCGUAUAUUAAAGUUGUUGCAGUUAAAAAGCUCGUAGUUGAAUUUCGGGGUCAGUAGGUCGGUCGUGCCACUGGUAUGAACUGGUUUUACUGAUUCCUCCCUCUUGAAGAACUGUAAUGCCAUUAAUUUGGUGUUGCAGGGAAUCAGGACUGUUACUUUGAAAAAUUAGAGUGUUUAAAGCAGGCUUUAGCUUGAAUACAUUAGCAUGGAAUAAUGAAAUAGGACG
rnacentral:rRNA from 1 species